rnacentral:lncRNA from 1 species
UGAACCUAAAUCUCCUCACUAAAUAUUAAGUCUACUGGUGUUCCACCGUUGUAGAGAUGCGGGUGUCUUUUCCGGCGUUGAUCAUUUUCGACUGGUUACAGUGGUUCAAUUGCAUAAGAAAAGCAUAACCACUCUAUUGGCAUUAGAUACCCUGGGGUAAAGAUGGGGUUAGGCCCAAUAACUGUUAGGUGAGGGACUUAAUGAUGGCUUUAUACUCGCUGGUGAACGG